AUCUACGGCCAUACCUAGGCGAAAACACCAGUUCCCGUUCGAUCACUGCAGUUAAGCGUCUGAGGGCCUCGUUAGUACUAUGGUUGGAGACAACAUGGGAAUCCGGGGUGCUGUAGGUU
rfam:Schizosaccharomyces pombe chromosome I, complete replicon